GCACUGCUGAGGAGUCCUAUACUAGGACGAAAGAGCCGUCCAGUGC
rnacentral:hammerhead_ribozyme from 1 species